rnacentral:rRNA from 1 species
UACGUAGGGUCCAAGCGUUAUCCGGAAUCACUGGGCGUAAAGCGUGCGUAGGUGGAUGUUUAAGUGAGAGGUUAAAUCGUGUGGCUCAACCAUAUCGAUGCCUCUCAUACUGGGCAUCUAGAGGACAGCAGAGGCAAGUGGAACUGGUAGUGUAGCAGUGAAAUGCGUAGAUAUUACCAAGAACACCAAUGGGCGAAGGCAGCUUGCUGGGCUACUCCUGACACUGAGGUACGAAAGCGUGGGGAGCGAACAGG